rnacentral:rRNA from 1 species
GACGAACCGUGCGAACGUUAUUCGGAAUCACUGGGCUUAAAGGGCGCGUAGGCGGGUUGCCAAGUCUGUGGUGAAAUCCUCCAGCUUAACUGGAGAACGGCCGUGGAUACUGGCGACCUCGAGGGGGGUAGGGGCUUGCGGAACUGUGCGUGGAGCGGUGAAAUGCGUUGAUAUGCACAGGAACUCCGGUGGCGAAGGCGGCGAGCUGGACCCUUUCUGACGCUGAGGCGCGGAAGCCAGGGGAGCGAACGGG